AAUUGCCACAGUUAUUUUCUCUUCUCUUACAAACAUAAUCCUCGUUAACUAAAAUUACAAUAUGUGAUGAUAUAAUGAAACUAAUUUUAUUCAACCUGUGAAUAUUAGAUAUCCAAUUCAAAAUUAAAUUGUUAACAAUAUCCGUGAACAUUGUCAGAAAAUGAUACUACAUUGGUUAUUGAUAAAUUCUCGGGUCUACAACGACGAAAGAUAACCCGUUGGAUUUGAUUUAUUAAACAUAACCAACUUCUUACGUUAACUGUUGUUUUACAAAGUUUUCAAAAUUAUAUUAAACUUGGAAUUUUAGAACAAAGCAAUUAAGGUACGUAACGUAUAGCAUUAGCCAUACCAACGACUUUAGACAUUUCUUUAGUGUCAUGUACACGUACAAUACUUACUCCUUGUAAAACACUAGCUGUAACACAAGCUGAAGUACCCCAUAUACGGUCUUUGGGGCUAGCGUCUCCAGUAAAGUAACCAGUAAACCCUUUACGGCUUGGACCCGAAAGCCAAUGCAUAUCUUUAAACUGCGGUUUUUUCAUCAGUUCAUGAAGUCUUCCUAAUAAACCGGCACUUUGUUUAGGUGUUUUUGCAAAUCCAAAGCCAGGAUCCAGUAUAAUAUUGUAUCGAUGAACGCCGGACUGAACCGCAGCUUCCACGCGAGACGACAACUCGACAGCAACUUCUUCAACGAUAUCUUUUUCAUAUAUUGAAAGUGCUUUCAUAGUUUCUGGUGUCCCUCUCAUAUGCAUAAUACAAAUGGGCACCUGUAAACUUGCAGCUAAUGGUAACAUUUUCUCAUCACCCAUCCCUCCAGUCACAUCAUUAAUAAUAUUAGCACCUGCCUCAAUGGCUAGUUUUGCAACUUUUGAAUAAUAAGUAUCGAUACUGAUGGGUACUGUAAUCCCUGAGCUUCGAAGUAAACUAAUCAUAGGUAUUACUCUUCUGAGUUCUUCCUCAACAGACACGGGAUCAGCUCCAGGUUUAGUAGACUGCCCACCUAUAUCUAGGAUAGAAGCACCAUCUCCAACCAUACUUUUUGCUUUUUCAAGGAUAUUAUUCUGCGAGACUUUACCACCAUCAGAAAACGAGUCGGGGGUCACGUUCAAAAUUCCCAUUGUUAAGGCGCCAUUAAUGAUUUUUUUGUUGUCAAAAGAUGAGUACAAUCUUAUUCCUUGUGAAGGCAAUUUAUCAAGAGCUUCUUGUAAGGGCUGAUGGGUAUAAGGGUGUACUAAGUCUGGGCUCAAGGCCAGCAAUGGACGUAAAACAAACUCACGUUCUUGCAGCCCUAAAUGGGGAAUAGUCAAAACUUCUGAUUCAUAAACACAAUCUUCGUACAAGACAAUAUCGAGAUCUAUACACCUUGGUCCUUUUAAAAUUGUUUUGAUUCGACCCAUUUCUUGUUCAAUGGAUUGACAAGCUCUUAAAAGAUUGAUAGGCGACAUUCUGGUUUCAAUUUUGCAAACACCGUUCAAAAAAGAAGGUUGGUCUUUAUAAUACAUCGGCUCUGUUUCGUACAAAGGGGAAACAUCCAACACACGAAUACCCUCUAUUUUAUGCAACAUAGAUAAUGCUGUUUGGAUUUGCUCAAAUUUGUCACCAAUAUUUGAACCAAAAGACAAAUAAGCAAUUUUGUUCUUAGUGGAUUCGUAUUUAUGCAGAGACUCUUGUAAAAAGUACGACCGUGUUCGAUAAAUUUGCACCGCAGAAGCAUUGGCGAAUGUGAUAGCACUAGGUUUCUCAGCUUUAAUGCUUAUAUCGUCUAGAUUCUUUGUAAAACAAAGAUACUUUGAAAGAUUGACAACCAAAGCUUCUAUAGUCAGGAAAGCAGAUUGUUCGACAUAUUCGGCGAUUGCGCGCGCGAUCUCUAAAGCUUCGACCUCCGUAUUUGCAAAUGAUAUAUUUAAGCAAACUCUUUGCUUCUCUUGUCGUUCAAAUGCGUGAAUUCCUAAUAUCGUAGCUAACUCCAAAUCCGAGAAUUCAAUACGAUCUACAAAGUUACUGGUAGAAUUGCGUUCGCGCUCAGCAUAAUAGUGCAAUCCAUUUUUAGACCUUAAAACACAUUUGGGUAAAGUAAGCUUAAUAGAAACAUGCGAGGUAUCAAUAACGUCUUCAAAACAUAAACUUGCAAUUUUAUUGACCAAAUCUUUAGGGGUUGUAAAAAAAGACCCUUCAAUUUCUUUUCGUAAUAGCUUAGAAGCUAUACCGUAAUGAAUCGUUGAUUUUAACUCGUCUUUUUCUCCAGCUAACUGAACAUUGUUUCUCAUAUAUACAUCAAUUUGCACUGGCUGAGGUUCCUUUCUUUUCCAUUGGUCUUGACCCACUACAGCAAAUGUGUUAAGAUUUUCAACUACGACAGUGUCAUGUAUCAAGUCCAUUUGUCUAGUAGGAUGUCGUAGAGAUGAGAAGCGGAGUUGUCUGGGGAUAGUGCUGACUAUUCUAGGUAUUUUGGCAAAACCAUGGAGAGAAUUAUUUCUAAUGAAUGGAUAGAUUCCCCAAAGGUUUACUAAACUUUUCAUGAGAGUUUAAAGAAUUGAUUAUCUAUAUUGGAAGUAUUUGCUGAAGCGACCAACACCAUGAUAAGUAAGAAUAAGCAAUACCUACGGUAUCCUGAUGUCAAUUAUCUAAAAUGAAGGCAUAUGGGAUAAAGAAUUGUAGCAUUAUUUGACUGUUAUUAAAUUUAAUUCAUUAUUGAAUACAGCUGGGAAUAUGUAUAUACUCUGAUCAUUUCUAUGGAGCAUAGAGCGAUACUGAGAAAUAAUAUUAUAAGAGAUUUGUCAGAUGACUACAUUAAUGUGCUACAAAUCAUUAUACCCGAAAAUAGAAAUAAGGGAGAAUCAAGUUUGAUUAAAUAUAAAACAUUCCAACAACUUUGUGAAACUCAACCUUACGCUAUCAGCUUAAAAGCAGAAGG